ACACAUGCAAGUCGAACGGAAUUUACAUGAAGCCUAGCGAUUGUAAAUUUAGUGGCGGACGGGUGAGUAACGCGUGGGUAACCUGCCUUGUACUGGGGGACAACAGUUGGAAACGACUGCUAAUACCGCAUAAGCGCACAGCUUCGCAUGAAGCAGUGUGAAAAACUCCGGUGGUACAAGAUGGACCCGCGUCUGAUUAGCUGGUUGGUGAGGUAACGGCCCACCAAGGCGACGAUCAGUAGCCGGCCUGAGAGGGUGAACGGCCACAUUGGGACUGAGACACGGCCCAAACUCCUACGGGAGGCAGCAGUGGGGAAUAUUGCACAAUGGGGGAAACCCUGAUGCAGCAACGCCGCGUGAGUGAAGAAGUAUUUCGGUAUGUAAAGCUCUAUCAGCAGGAAAGAAAAUGACGGUACCUGACUAAGAAGCCCCGGCUAACUACGUGCCAGCAGCCGCGGUAAUACGUAGGGGGCAAGCGUUAUCCGGAUUUACUGGGUGUAAAGGGAGCGUAGACGGUUUUGCAAGUCUGAAGUGAAAGCCCGGGGCUUAACCCCGGGACUGCUUUGGAAACUGUAGGACUAGAGUGCAGGAGAGGUAAGUGGAAUUCCUAGUGUAGCGGUGAAAUGCGUAGAUAUUAGGAGGAACACCAGUGGCGAAGGCGGCUUACUGGACUGUAACUGACGUUGAGGCUCGAAAGCGUGGGGAGCAAACAGGAUUAGAUACCCUGGUAGUCCACGCCGUAAACGAUGAUUACUAGGUGUUGGUGGGUAUGACCCAUCGGUGCCGCAGCAAACGCAAUAAGUAAUCCACCUGGGGAGUACGUUCGCAAGAAUGAAACUCAAAGG
rnacentral:rRNA from 1 species